rnacentral:rRNA from 1 species
CAGUCGCCGCGGGAAUACGCAGGGUGCAAGCGUUAAUCGGAACUACUGGGCGUAAAGCGUGCGCAGGCGGUCCGCUAAGACAGAUGUGAAAUCCCUGGGCUUAACCUGGGAACUGCAUUUGUGACUGGCGGGCUAGAGUAUGGCAGAGGGGGGUAGAAUUCCACGUGUAGCAGUGAAAUGCGUAGAGAUGUGGAGGAAUACCGAUGCGAAGGCAGCCCCCUGGGCCAAUACUGACGCUCAUGCACGAAAGCGUGGGGAGCAAACAGGAUUAGAUACCCCCGUAGUCCCUGUCUCUUAUACC